GAUGAACGCUAGCGGCAGGCUUAAUACAUGCAAGUCGAGGGGCAGCACGGUUAGCAAUAACUGGUGGCGACCGGCGCACGGGUGCGUAACACGUAUACAAUCUACCUUAAACAGGGGAUAGCCUUUCGAAAGAGAGAUUAAUACCCCGUAAUAAAUUGAACGGCAUCGUUUGAUUUUGAAAGCUCCGGCGGUUUGAGAUGAGUAUGCGUCUGAUUAGCUAGUUGGUGAGGUAACGGCUCACCAAGGCGACGAUCAGUAGGGGAUCUGAGAGGACUAACCCCCACACUGGUACUGAGACACGGACCAGACUCCUACGGGAGGCAGCAGUAGGGAAUAUUGGGCAAUGGACGCAAGUCUGACCCAGCCAUGCCGCGUGCAGGAAGACGGCCCUCUGGGUUGUAAACUGCUUUUAUCAGGGAAGAAACCCUUCUACGUGUAGAAGGCUGACGGUACCUGAGGAAUAAGGAUCGGCUAACUCCGUGCCAGCAGCCGCGGUAAU
rnacentral:rRNA from 1 species